rnacentral:tRNA from 1 species
GACCGCUUGGCGCAAUGGUAGUGCGUUCGGCUCCAGAUAGAAAGGUUGGGCGUUCGAUCCGCUCAGUGCUCA